rnacentral:lncRNA from 1 species
CCACAUGCUCACUGCACAUUGUUGUUGAGGAUGCAGGGAUCCACCUAAAGAAAGAAACAGACUAUUUCAGUUCAGGUAAGAACAAAAAGAACAAACCAGUUUAGCAAUCCGUCUAAGUCAACUUCUUAUAGAAAGCUUAGGACAAAUUUAACAGUAAAGAUGACAAUCCUCACCUCAGUAUAAGUCGGUGGUGGCAUGAACUUGAACUCAGGGGCAUACAUAAAGAUAGGGCUGUCUUGAGAGCCAUCCAUGUCAUCUAGCAGAGGAGUGG